AGAGUUUCUACGGUGGCUUUGCCCCCCUCUUUACUCUUCAGUGUACCCUUGACGUACAUCUCUGCGGCAUCGACCACAAAGACGGCUGUUUUGGCAUCGAAAGGUUAUGAAGAUUACUUCAAGGGUCUCAAACAAUAUGCUGUAAGUAAUAAUAAAUAAUUAUCAUUGUUCCUCAUCCACAUUUUUUUUUUUUGUUGUUUGUUUCAUAUAGGAGUGAAUACUUGUAUUUAUUUAAAUUGAUGCACCAUUGUGUUGUACAAGUCUGUAGUGUUGAGUUAUUUUAUUAGAAUUAAUAAAUGGCCAAUAUAUGUGUAAUAAGCAAAAUGAAAAUGUUGGUAAAUAUACACCAGAAAUGUGCAUCCUGGCGUUCCACAAAGUCUCCCAAAAUAAAAAAAAGUCAACAUGUAGUUCAUUAUAAGUGUUAACAUUAUUUCACUAUCCUGUAUAUGGUAUUGUCUUACAUAAUCAUUAUAAAAAAUGCUUAAUUUUCCUGUUGAUUUAUUCAUUAAUAGAGACUCAAAGCACUUUUAUAAGUUACUCUGAAAAGGGUGUCUGCUGUAAAUCUAAAUGUCCCCAUAAUCAACACUUCUUGACUGUUUUCUACAAUAAACGCUUGUUUUU